rnacentral:rRNA from 1 species
UCGAGAAUCUUCCGCAAUGGGCGAAAGCCUGACGGAGCGACACCGCGUGCAGGACGAAGGCCCUCGGGUUGUAAACUGCUGUCACGCUCUAGGAAUGCCAUGUCGUUAAUAGCGGCAUGGUUGACCAAGGCGAAAGGAAGUGGCGGCUAACUCUGUGCCAGCAGCCGCGGUAAGACAGAGGCCACGAACGUUGUUCGGAAUCACUGGGCAUAAAGCGCACGUAGGCGGCUAGGUCCGUCCAAUGUGAAAGCCCCCGGCUCAACCGGGGAAUUGCAUCGGAUACAGCCUGGCUUGAGGACGGUUGGGGUGAGUGGAACUCCUGGUGGAGCGGUGAAAUGCGUAGAUAUCAGGAGGAACACCGGUGGCGAAAAGCGGCUCACUGGACCGUAACUGACGCUGAGGUGCGAAAGCUAGGGGAGCAAACGGGAUUAGAUACCCCAGUAGUCCCUGAGCGGGCUGGCAAGGCGCAU